rnacentral:rRNA from 1 species
UACGAAGGGGGCGAGCGUUGUUCGGAAUUACUGGGCGUAAAGGGCGCGCAGGCGGCUCUGAAAGUCAGAUGUGAAAGCCCCGGGCUUAACCUGGGAAUUGCAUUUGAUACUCUGGAGCUUGAGUACGGGAGAGGAGAGUGGAAUUCCCAGUGUAGAGGUGAAAUUCGUAGAUAUUGGGAAGAACACCGGUGGCGAAGGCGGCUCUCCGGACCGUAACUGACGCUGAGGCGCGAAAGCGUGGGGAGCAAACAGG